AUUCCCCCAGUAGCGGCGAGCGAACGGGGAGCAGCCCAGAGCCUGAAUCAGUGUGUGUGUUAGUGGAAGCGUCUGGAAAGGCGCGCGAUACAGGGUGACAGCCCCGUACACAAAAAUGCACAUGCUGUGAGCUCGAUGAGUAGGGCGGGACACGUGGUAUCCUGUCUGAAUAUGGGGGGACCAUCCUCCAAGGCUAAAUACUCCUGACUGACCGAUAGUGAACCAGUACCGUGAGGGAAAGGCGAAAAGAACCCCGGCGAGGGGAGUGAAAAAGAACCUGAAACCGUGUACGUACAAGCAGUGGGAGCACGCUUAGGCGUGUGACUGCGUACCUUUUGUAUAAUGGGUCAGCGACUUAUAUUCUGUAGCAAGGUUAACCGAAUAGGGGAGCCGAAGGGAAACCGAGUCUUAACUGGGCGUUAAGUUGCAGGGUAUAGACCCGAAACCCGGUGAUCUAGCCAUGGGCAGGUUGAAGGUUGGGUAACACUAACUGGAGGACCGAACCGACUAAUGUUGAAAAAUUAGCGGAUGACUUGUGGCUGGGGGUGAAAGGCCAAUCAAACCGGGAGAUAGCUGGUUCUCCCCGAAAGCU
rnacentral:rRNA from 1 species